rnacentral:rRNA from 1 species
GAUGAACGCUGGCGGCGUGCUUAACACAUGCAAGUCGAACGGAAAGGCCCAAGCUUGCUUGGGUACUCGAGUGGCGAACGGGUGAGUAACACGUGGGUGAUCUGCCCUGCACUUCGGGAUAAGCCUGGGAAACUGGGUCUAAUACCGGAUAGGACCACAUUUUGGUUGGUGUGGUGGAAAGUUUUUCGGUGUGGGAUGAGCUCGCGGCCUAUCAGCUUGUUGGUGGGGUAAUGGCCUACAAAGGCGUCGACGGGUAGCCGGCCUGAGAGGGUGUACGGCCACAUUGGGACUGAGAUACGGCCCAGACUCCUACGGGAGGCAGCAGUGGGGAAUAUUGCACAAUGGGCGCAAGCCUGAGGCAGCGACGCCGCGUGGGGGAUGACGGCCUUCGGGUUGUAAACGCCUUUCGCUAGGGACGAAGCGUUAUGUGACGGUACCUGGAGAAGAAGCACCGGCUAACUACGUG